CUGACGAAACAGGGGUGCUUCGCGUGCAUCGGACAGUGAGAGCGCGGCGAGGCUGAGAGAGGCCCUUUGCACCCGAUCCGGGUAAUACCGGCGAGGGAAGUUUCUGGAGAACGCGC
rnacentral:ncRNA from 2 species